rnacentral:rRNA from 1 species
CAGCAGCCGCGGUAAUACGUAGGGUGCGAGCGUUAAUCGGAAUUACUGGGCGUAAAGCGUGCGCAGGCGGCUUUGCAAGACAGAGGUGAAAUCCCCGGGCUCAACCUGGGAACUGCCUUUGUGACUGCAAGGCUAGAGUACGGCAGAGGGGGAUGGAAUUCCGCGUGUAGCAGUGAAAUGCGUAGAUAUGCGGAGGAACACCGAUGGCGAAGGCAAUCCCCUGGGCCUGUACUGACGCUCAUGCACGAAAGCGUGGGGAGCAAAACAGGAUUAGAUACCCUGGUAGUCCACGCCCUAAACGAUGUCAACUGGUUGUUGGACGGCUUGCUGUUCACUUAACGAAACUUACGCGUGAAAUUUGACCGCCCUGGGGAAGUACGG